GACGAACGCUGGCGGCGUGCCUAACACAUGCAAGUCGAGCGAAGUUAUUCCUUCGGGGAUAACUUAGCGGCGGACGGGUGAGUAACACGUGGGUAACCUGCCUUAUAGAGGGGGAUAGCCUUCCGAAAGGAAGAUUAAUACCGCAUAACAUCAGAUUCUCGCAUGGGGAUUUGAUUAAAGGAGUAAUCCGCUAUAAGAUGGACCCGCGGCGCAUUAGCUAGUUGGUGAGGUAACGGCUCACCAAGGCGACGAUGCGUAGCCGACCUGAGAGGGUGAUCGGCCACAUUGGGACUGAGACACGGCCCAGACUCCUACGGGAGGCAGCAGUGGGGAAUAUUGCACAAUGGGGGAAACCCUGAUGCAGCAACGCCGCGUGAGUGAUGAAGGCCUUCGGGUUGUAAAGCUCUGUCUUUGGGGACGAUAAUGACGGUACCCAAGGAGGAAGCCACGGCUAACUACGUGCCAGCAGCCGCGGUAAAAC
rnacentral:rRNA from 1 species